AUUCAUCUGACGAGUCACAAAUAGAACGAAAUGCGCAUCCUGGAU
rnacentral:hammerhead_ribozyme from 1 species